rnacentral:pre_miRNA from 1 species
ACAACAUUCGGAGCUUCGAUCUACCGAGCAAUAUCACCCGCUCGGUGGAAGAUCUUCCCUUUGUCAU